GAUUGAGGACGACCUCAUCUUCGGGACAAUCUACUAUCCGGGACGACCUGG
rnacentral:ncRNA from 2 species